rnacentral:rRNA from 1 species
AUUGAACGCUGGCGGCAGGCCUAACACAUGCAAGUCGAACGAGUGGCGGACGGGUGAGUAAUGUCUGGGAAACUGCCUGAUGGAGGGGGAUAACUACUGGAAACGGUAGCUAAUACCGCAUACCAUCAGAUGUGCCCAGAUGGGAUUAGCUAGUUGGUGGGGUAACGGCUCACCAAGGCGACGAUCCCUAGCUGGUCUGAGAGGAGGACCAGCAACACGGGAACUGAGACACGGUCCAGACUCCUACGGGAGGAAGCAGUGGGGAAUAUUGGACAAUGGGCGCAAGCCGAAUGCAGCCAUGCCGCGUGUAUGAAGAAGGCCUGCGGGUGGUAAAGUCCUUUCAGCGGGGAGGCGUUACUCGCAGAAGAAGCACCGGCUAACUCCGUGCCAGCAGCCGCGGUAAUUC